GCGGGGAUAUCCGAGUUUGGUCUAAGGAGCAGGGCUUAGGACCCUGUGGCGCAGGCCUUCGUGGGUUCAAGUCCCACUCCCCGCACCA
rnacentral:tRNA from 1 species